rnacentral:tRNA from 1 species
GGCUAAGUGCUCCGAGUGGUUAAGGGGUGAGACUUGAAUUGCUUUGCAUUAUCAAUUCGAGACGAUCUCAUGGCGAAAGCCUCGCAAGUUCAAAUCUUGUCUUAGUCG